rnacentral:rRNA from 2 species
UGACCUCAAAUCAGGUAGGACUACCCGCUGAACUUAAGCAUAUCAAUAAGCGGAGGAAAAGAAACUAACAAGGAUUCCCCUAGUAACUGCGAGUGAAGCGGGAAAAGCUCAAAUUUAAAAUCUGGCAGUCUUUGGCUGUCCGAGUUGUAAUCUAGAGAAGUGUUAUCCGCGCUGGACCGUGUACAAGUCUCCUGGAAUGGAGCGUCAUAGAGGGUGAGAAUCCCGUCUUUGACACGGACUACCAGGGCUUUGUGAUGCGCUCUCAAAGAGUCGAGUUGUUUGGGAAUGCAGCUCAAAAUGGGUGGUAAAUUCCAUCUAAAGCUAAAUAUUGGCGAGAGACCGAUAGCGAACAAGUACCGUGAGGGAAAGAUGAAAAGAACUUUGGAAAGAGAGUUAAACAGUACGUGAAAUUGCUGAAAGGGAAACGCUUGAAGUCAGUCGCGUUGUCCAGGGAUCAACCUUGCUUUUGCUUGGUGCACUUUCUGGUUGACGGGUCAGCAUCAAUUUUGACCAUUGGAAAAAGAUUGAGGGAAUGUGACAUCUUUGGAUGUGUUAUAGCCCUUGGUUGCAUACGAUGGUUGGGAUUGAGGAACUCAGCACGCCGCAAGGCCGGGUUUUUAACCACGUACGUGCUUAGGAUG